GACAGAGGGUGCAAACGUUGUUCGGAAUUACUGGGCGUAAAGCGAGUGUAGGCGGUCUGACAAGUCAGGUGUGAAAGCCCUGGGCUCAACCCAGGAAGUGCACUUGAAACUGCCAGGCUAGAGUAUCGGAGAGGUUGGUGGAAUUCUCGGUGUAGAGGUGAAAUUCGUAGAUAUCGAGAGGAACACCGGUGGCGAAGGCGGCCAACUGGACGAAUACUGACGCUGAGACUCGAAAGCGUGGGGAGCAAACAGG
rnacentral:rRNA from 1 species